CUAGCUCUCUUUGCCUUUUGGCUUAGAUCAAGUGUAGUAACUGUUCUUUUUAGUUUAAUAUCUAGAACGCCCCCACGGGGGCAUAUUCAGAUUAAACCAAUUUUUGGAAUCCGGCUGGAGGGGCGCUGGGCUCCGCUCAUCUUCACCGGCCAUAGUGUCGCUCGUAUUGCACUGCCUCGGGCUGACGCGAAUGGGCU
rfam:Macrophomina phaseolina MS6 contig00499, whole genome shotgun sequence.